rnacentral:lncRNA from 1 species
AUGGAAGUUUACGUUUCUAAAUGGUUUGGAAGGUGCUACAUUAAGAGGAACUGGGAAGAUUCACAAUGGUGGACCUCUGAGGAAUGGAAAAAACAGAAUCAAGACCAGAAGAGCUGGGAAGAUAAGAUGAGCAAGUGGCCCAAGAUGUUCCAGGCAGUGAAGAGACCAAAGGCUGGAAGGUGGCUGGGGUUUCUGGGUGAAGGUGGUGGAUGGAUGGUAUGUGUUGAAGUUAAAGUCUUUCAGGAGUCUCCGAAACAUUGUUGUAAAGCAGAACUCUGUGAGGGCGAGGAGAGCAAGAGAAAAAGUAACAGCAGCACCAUUUUUUUUCAAGUUCUUUUAUUGGUACAUUUUAGGUAUACAAUUCGUUUACAUUUAUCACUGGGUGCUUGUACCUGUACAUGACGUAUCUUGCUUCUUAUUUUUUUCCUCAUUACCUGUGUGCCCUUCACCCCCUCCACCCUUCCCUAUUUACAUAGAUUUCAUUUCCAUUUUUUUCCUUUUCUCAUAGUUUUUCCUUUCCCUCCUUUCCUUUCCCCUUCCCCUCUUUUCACCUCUUCGUCUUUGGACUUUUUUCCUAUUUCAAAUUAUCAAUUAUUCAUUUUAAUCAUUUUAACCCUUGUUUACACUAUCAGUUUCUCACACUGAAACUAUUUGGUAUUUACUUGUGUGUCCUAUUCAUUUCACUUAAGAGUAUGGCCUCUAUAUGCAUCCAUUUAUCUAUAAAUGACUGUAGUUUUUCGUUCUUCAUGGCUGAGUAGUACUCCAUUUUAUAAAAAAAACAAAAACACAUCUACUUUAUCCAGUUUCCAAUUGAUAGGCACUUGGGCUGCUUCCAAGCUUUACCUAUUUUAAACUGUGCCGCUAUGAACAUGGGUGCACAUAUAUCGCUGUGGUAUGAUUCUUUUAAUUCUUUUGGGAAGAUACCCAGCAGGGGAAUAGCUGGGU